rnacentral:RNase_P_RNA from 1 species
GGGGUGGGUUAGAUGGCUACCGGGGGGGCUUCCUCCCGGAGGAAAGUCCGGCCACCACAAGGCAGGAAUGCGGGUAACGCCCGCCGGGGGCGACUCCAGGGGCAGGCAACAGAGAGCAGACCGCCUACGGGCCGCAAGACCCGGGGGUAAGGGUGAAAGGGUGGGGUAAGAGCCCACCGCGCCCACGGUAACGUGGGUGGCACGGCGACUGCCCUUCCGGUGCAAACGCAAAUAGGGGACGAGAUGGUUUUCCAUCGCGGGAUCGCCUGUCCCGCCACAAGUCCCGGGUAGCGUGCUAGAGGCGGACGGCGACGUCCGUCCCAGAUAAAUAGCCAUCCGCGACAGAAGCCGGCUUAUCGAUCCACCCCGCUU